GCGUUGUCCAAAGUAUCGUUGUCGCAGCUUCCGCACAGAGAGUCAACUUCUCUGAUGACUCUCAAAUUUCAGCUGUGGGGAAAGUCCCCGGAGAUACAGAGCAUAUCCUCGAUUCACUUACGGAAAGCGGCUGGCUCUGAGCACGACAGCUCUGGAUCGAGGAUGUCCGAGAAUCGCAUUGCCUUGCGCUGAAUGGGAGUUCUACAACUACCUUCGCGUUUGGGCUCCGUCUUGUGACACUCUGUUGCUUGUGCUCGAUGACCGACUGGCCUUGAAAGGACGUCAAGGCGCGAAGAUAUGAGCGUUUUGGUGUUUGUCAGUUUGGUUGGAGAGACAGCAUUUUGUUGCUCAUAGCUACAGUUAUACGAUGGUGGACUCGUUUGUUCGAGUCUUUCAACUCAAUGGGGCUCACUCUUGGUCAACG
rnacentral:RNase_MRP_RNA from 2 species